GCGUGAGAUGAGGAAUAAUUGUUUCCCUAUUGGUUUGACUGCCGCAAUGAUGGCCUUUAUUGCUUCAAACUUUCUGAUCGCGC
rnacentral:snoRNA from 1 species